UACGGAGGGGGCUAGCGUUGUUCGGAAUUACUGGGCGUAAAGCGCACGUAGGCGGAUGUGUCAGUCAGGGGUGAAAUCCCGGAGCUCAACUUCGGAACUGCCUUUGAUACAGCACGUCUCGAGUCCGGAAGAGGUGGGUGGAAUUCCUAGUGUAGAGGUGAAAUUCGUAGAUAUUAGGAAGUAACACCGGUGGCGAAGGCGGCCC
rnacentral:rRNA from 1 species